AAUAAAGUGAAUUACAUUCUGAAGAGAAAACUUCAAACCCAUCACUUGAGACACUGUGGAAGAAUUGAGGCAAUAUGGCCUGUAGAGCAGGGUGUGAUUGUUGAGAAGAGGUAUAAAAUGGACAUGUAAGCAAAUAAAUGAAAACAAUAAUUUCUUAUAUGGUAUACAUAAGGAAAUUUGAUUUGACAAAUGAGGACCAUAAGAUAGAAGAUGAGAAUCCAUCUGCCCUCUUCUCUGCACCCAGGCUUCAAUCCUGUUUGAUCAUGCAGGGGCUACAAGGCCUUCGACACAAAGAACUUGUCUUAGAUUCUAAUCAGUUUAACAAAUAGGACAGACAGCUGCUGAGCACUGUCUGAGUGACACUGGUUUACAUACAAAUGAACCACCAAUGUCCCCUUCUAUCAACUCAGAAUAAAAUCUGGUUUUAGCAUAUGCAGUCCUACGAGACAUGGUUAAAGGAUAUGAAUGAUAGAUAGAGAUAAAAGAAAUCAAGGACCAUUCCUCCACAAGUCUCCAAAGAGGAAAACAACAAUCGAAGAAAAAAGAGUGAGAGAACAGAUGGGCUGGCAGAGUUUUGCUUUCUAUGUGACAUUGUGUACUUAUUAUUCGCAUGAGGACUAAUUUAUAAACCCGGAUAGUGUUUAUAAACUAUACUGUCCUAAUGGAAAUGAAAGCAUUAAUACAACUAGAAGAUUCUUUAC
rnacentral:lncRNA from 1 species